CAACUAUGUACUUCGUUGUGCUUUUCCUUUUCCAUCUUUAAAUUUCAUGCAUAGUAGUAUGUUACUUUAUAUCCCUUAGACUGUUCUGGAGAAAAAGAAGAGUGUUUUUUGAUAACCAGACAGUGCUUUCUCUCCCAGUUUUAUUCUGGCUGCUUUCAGUGCUGACUGUGUGCCAAAUAUUGUCCCAGUUUCAAUCUUUCAAAUAGUUCUUACUCUCUGUUCAGCUCUUUUCUUUUUCCCACACCUCCCUGCCUCAUUUCUUCCAUGUCUCCCUUUUGAGAGUCCUCUUUGCUUUUCUAAUCAUUUUCAGUUAUCUGUUCAAAUACUUCUUAAUAUUGACAAAGCAAAAACAGAAAGCAGAUGUAUUUUCUAAACAGGCCAAGAUAAGGGUAUUAUCUGUAAUAAGCAUAGAAGAUAGCAGUUGAAAGUCCCAAAAGCACACUGGUCUGUUUUGUUGUUAUAUCUCUUUGUAAACUCGUGUUUAGGAGAGAGUACUGGGUAAAUUACAAGACAGUAGAUAUGGAUUUCACAUCAAGCAGAAAUUGCUUUGCAAUUGGGGUAACUUAACCUUUCUCUCCUUCUGUGCUUAUUCUUAGGGAUGUUGCAAGACUAAAUAUAAAAGAACUUUAAAGAAGUUUCUUACCAUAUACUCAGAGGAGCUGUCUAGAGCAAAGCAAGUAGCAACUAUGUCUGAUAUCCACUUUAGUUUAGGCAGAAGAUGAAGGAGAAAGAGCACAACAGAAAGGAGUAAAUGAAGUUAAGACCAGAGGAGAAUAAAUGCUUUAAGAAAAUAAUUAACAAAUAUGUUUGAUUAACUGCUAUAUAUCCACAUAACUGAACGUGCCCUCAUUUUUCUGUUUUCAGUCAUCAUCUUGUUCUGUUUAUGAAGCAACGUUUCAAAUCUCAUCCUACAGCCUUCCUGUAUCACAGAGCUUUACUAGCAGCUGAUGCUGCUGUGGGCUGUGUCUUGUAGGGGAAUUAAUUUUGCCUAAGAGCCCACAGUUCAGCUGUUCUUAAGACAGGACUGUAACCUUAUAGGCAAAACACUGAUUUUUGUCAAAAGGAAAAGAAACUGACAGUCAGCUCUGCCAGAGUUUGUACAUACAUAUUUAAUUUUACUGCAAAGCACAGAUUAGGAAAUUGUCUGCAUGCUUUAUUAAGCGAUAGUAGAAAUUGAUUAAAGCAAUUGAUUGUACCCUGUGCAAGGAAGUAUUUAUGGUCAUUACAUUGAUGCCAAAAAGCACCUGUCAGCUUCAGAAAGGGCAUCUACUGAUUUGUUGACAGGCGAUUUCAUAUUUUCUUUUUACAGAAGCUUUUAUCAAGGGCUUGCUUGAACUAGAUGAUCUUGAACAGAUAUUUCCUUUUUGCCAGAUGCUGAAAUGCAAUUUUAGCUACAUCAUGUGGCGUUUUGUCGAUUUGUUUAAAAUCCACACUGAGAGGUGUUGAAACAGUCACUUUCCAUAGCGAUGUCCAUUAUGUUGUCCCUUCCUACCCACAAAUGCAGUUGUGUACUUGCUGAACUUGUUUAGUGGGACCUGUUAGAUUCUGCACUGGAUUAUUCAAUAGAAAAUUUCAGCAUUUCUGUUUUAAGCAGCUUCCUUUGGGGGGGCUAUUGUGGGACCUAUGGCAGUGUAGCAGUUUGCAAGAGAAAGAAGAAAGAACUGGACAAAGGGGGCAGAAGAACUCUCAUAACACAACUGCAGUGUUGCUUUCCUGAAUGAGUCUGCCAUAUGUUUUCCUUCUCCAGGCCCCUCCAUAAAUGCAUAACGCAGCUUGUGUUGAGAAUAUACUGCAGUGUGAGGUUUUCAGUGGCCAGGCUUGGUUUGUCAUUUAGAAAAAUAGAUGAGACAUUUUGGAUAUUGUUCUGCUUUGAGGUAAAGUGUGUCCCUGUCUCGAGAUGAUUCAGACAUUUGUUAUGUUUUCUGACUUUGUGCUUCUGCCUCUUCUGGGCCAUGAGUAGUACAGAUUACUUUUAUUUUAUAGUCUAAGCUAAUGUGUUUGCAAAUUGCAAUGAAAGAAUCUCAGAAAAUUACUCUAUACAUCAGCGGAGACAGAACAAAUGUUGGGCUUUUUUUUUUCCUUUCAAACUGCUCCAGUGUGCUAUUUGAGUGCAAAUCAGUAGUUUUUAUGAAGUGGCUGAAGUUAGGUCUGAAUAAUCUAUAUUUCAGAGAAUCUAAUAAUCAAAAAUUUAACAAGUUUCCUCAAGAUGGAUAGGAAGAUUAAAUUAAAGGGUGGUUUAUGUUAACAUUUGGCUCUACAAAGAGGGAGAAAUAUUGCUGUGUGAAAUACUUAGCUUCAUUAGCAAAAGUAGCCCAAUUAAAAUAUUUGCCAUAUGGGUUUUGUAGGGAUUUCAAAUAGACCUUUCUUGAAUUUUCCUUGAUUCAGAGAUGCUUACAUUAAAUGUGACACAUGAGAUGAUAAUUGUGAGGUAAUUAUUUGAUUUUCACUAAACAGACAUUUCCAUUAGAUUCCUUCUGGCAAUAUCUUGCUGAGGAAGUUCAUUUUAUAGCCAAAUACAAUAUCAAAAUGUCUUCUCUUUACUCAACUAUGUAAGGAACAAUAACCAUAACUACCUCUUUUAAUGUUCUUAGCCAUCUGUACCUAGACACUCUGCGAUGUAUGAUGUGCUGCUUUCUGAUUAGGCUAUGAGACUUGCUGAACGUGGACUUGAUGUUUCUCUUUUCCUCUAGUGUAGACUUGCAAAACCAGCACUUGCCUUUUAUCCUGCUUUUUGUAAUAGUAUCUUUGCAUAUAAUCUACAAGGAUUGGCUGUUAAGCUCUGCUGUCACGGCCCAGGAUGACACCUGUGAUUAAAAGGUCUUCCUGAAUUCUGCCAGACUCUAGGUUUUUGCAUCUAGUUUCAAGAUGAAAAAAGUCAUGGUGCUUCAAAGCUUCAUCUCUACAAGUGCAAAAUCUGCCACAUUUUUCAGGCAGGGGCACAUAAUAUGUAAAAAAUGUUUCAAGAUACUGAAAUGAGACCUUUGUAUGAGGUGAUGGCAUUAUGAUUUCAGACCCAAAUCCCCUGUUGCAAUAGACUGCUUAAAGCUUUUCCUCUGCUUCCGUAGGUGUGGAGAUUAAUUUUACUUUAGAUGCCCUGGCCAACCCUACUGAGAUCACUGAACAGGUAGGGAAGCCAAGGCAGGCAGGUAGUACCUUACUGUGUGCCACCGGCCCUGGCUCAACCAUGUUACACUGAGACACCACCUGUGCUUGGUUAGAAGCUCUGGAAAUUAAAUUCUUCUCUCAUUUGCACAACCAAAUGGCCUGAUGACCAUUUGUAUCUGCUGAACUCUGCAGCUUCUGCACAUUAAGGUAACAUUUGCAACCAUGGCCACUGUAGUGCUUUGCCCAACCUGUUUUUGUCACUCAGGAUUUGCUCUCAUUGUUCAGGUGUUUCAUCAGCACGUUGUAGCCUUUCUGUAAGCUGCAGUUUGCACUGCUCUUGGAAUUCAUGUAUUUUAUACACAGACAAUGCUUUUGCCUACCUCUUUUUCUGUUUGGUUUGGUUUAUUUGUUGAUGUCUGUGUGAUUGCUUACUGAUGUCUAGGAAAAAAGGAGAAGCUCUGAAGUACUGAAACAUAUACAGACUGGUCAUCAAGUCACCGGUGUUUGAAGAUCAGUGUUACUGAUGAGCAUGUCUCGUUGCUUCUCUAAUGGCACUGUGUGCAGCCUCCCCCAGGAGACAGGGCUGUCUGCUACAAUGAUGGUCACUGGAAAAACAAUGUUCCGGACAGUAAUAAACAAAAUGACACUUGUCAGUGUCAGAAGUAGACUGUGACAAAUGUGAAUAUAGCAGACUGUUAAAAAAAAAAAAAAACCACAGCUGUCUUAAGUUCUCUAAUUUCCAGGGGCAUCUCUAUAGAUAGUGUUAUUAUCA
rnacentral:lncRNA from 1 species